rnacentral:rRNA from 1 species
UACGUAGGCAGCAAGCGUUGUUCGGAGUUACUGGGCGUAAAGGGUGCGUAGGCGGUUGUUUAAGUUUGGUGUGAAAUCCCCCGGCUCAACUGGGAGGGUGCGCCGAAUACUGAAUGACUAGAGUGCGGGAGAGGAUAGUGGAAUUCCUGGUGUAGCGGUGAAAUGCGUAGAUAUCAGGAGGAACACCGGUGGUGUAGACGGCUAUCUGGACCGUAACUGACGCUGAGGCACGAAAGCAUGGGGAUCAAACAGG